GGUCCGAGUUGUAAUUUUGAGAACUGUUUUCUGUGCUGGACCAUGUACAAGUCUGUUGAAAAACAGCAUCAUUGAGGGUGAAAAUCCCGUACAUGAUAUGGACUACCAGGGCAAUAUGAUACAGUCUCUAAGAGUCGAGUUGUUUGGGAAUGCAGCUCAAAGUGGGUGGUAAAUUCCAUCUAAGGCUAAAUAUAGGUGAGAGACCGAUAGCAAACAAGUACCGUGAGGGAAAGAUGAAAAGAACUUUGGAAAGAGAGUUAACAGUACGUGAAAUUGCUAAAAGGGAAACAGUUAAAGUUAGACUUGUUAUUGUUGGAUCAGCUUCUUUAUUGAGGUGUACUCUGAUGAUUAACAGACCAGCAUCAAUUUUUGAGUG
rnacentral:rRNA from 1 species